UACAGAGGGUGCGAGCGCUAAUCGGAAUUACUGGGCGUAAAGCGUGCGUAGACGGUUAUUUAAGUCGGGUGUGAAAGCCCCGGGCUCAACCUGGGAAUUGCAUUCGAGACUGAAUAGCUAGGGUACGGUAGAGGGAAGCGGAAUUUCCGGUGUAGCGGUGAAAUGCGUAGAUACCGGAAGGAACAUCAGUGGCGAAAGCGGCUUCCUGGACCAGUACCGACGUUCAGGCACGAAAGCGUGGGGAGCAAACAGG
rnacentral:rRNA from 1 species